GUACUAUCCUUUAUUUAUAUUACAUUUUGUACAUAUCUUCUCAACGGGACUGAGGCCACCUCUGCCUAUGCAAACAAAAAUGGUUCUGGAUGAU
ensembl:ncRNA F54D7.9 ncRNA